AAAUGUCUUGGUUGCUUCAUUCAUGAUGACAUAGAGCAAGGAUUCAGGUCUGAUUUCCUACAAAAACCCUUUUGCUGUUUAGAGCAGCAAUUUGUGUAUUUUUCUUUCCCUUUUUUUGUGAUAACACCUUUUCUUUUUUGCCUGUGAAUAAAUGUGUUUGUGCAAUAAUCCACACAUUGAUGAGAGCAGUUCAUGAUGUGCAGCAGGCUGAUACACAGAGGGCUGACCUCCUGCCGUGAAAGCUAAAGUCUGAUAACAUACCACUCAGAGACAAUUAACACACACCAGUAAGAAUAACGGCUCUCCAAACUUUCCACUGACCCCAUCACACAUGCACAUCUGAAAACGCCCACACUCACACCGGGGGGUCAGGGUUCAGACGUCUGGAAUACUUUGAGAGGUUGUGAGAAUAGCAGUGUGUGGCCCUCAUAAUGUAUGAUAUGUUUAUCUGCUUCUCCUGAUGCCACCUGGGCACCUCUUCAGGAAAUGAGCAGAAAUAUAUACAGAAAAGCUCCCUCUGACAGGUCACGUACAAGCACCGUGAGAGGUGACCCUGUGGUUAACACUGUGAGGGUGAAAAUAGGAUGAUGGAGAACCGCAGCAAUGAGUCACUGCCAUCAAUAAUUCAUGAAGCCCAUUAAAAAUAUUUUAACCAAGGACAUGACUGGAAAAGCUAAACCAAAAAUAGGAUAUCUUAUGAGUAUAAACAACAAUGAUCAAGAGCUCUUUCACAUCCCAUCUUACCAUGAGAGUUAUCUUACUUGCAGACACACCUGUUCUGAUUUAUAAUUGAUUUGAAUGGAGCAGUUGGGUUGAUCUCCUGUCACACUGACGUCUGUAUUCACACUAUACGUCAGACCAAUGGAGCUACAGUGGUUGUUAAUGUAGUGAACUGGUUGUAAAAGGCUUCUUUCUUUUCUAGUAAUGACAACAUCCAAUGUCCAAACAUUGUGUGCAAAAUCAUAAAAAA